GGGUAGGCAUGUGCCAAGGCGGCGACGAAGUUUUGCAAACUUCGUGCGGUGAGUUCGAUUCUCAUCCUAUCCA
rnacentral:tRNA from 1 species